rnacentral:rRNA from 1 species
AUUGAACGCUGGCGGCAUGCCUUACACAUGCAAGUCGAACGGCAGCACGGGAGCAAUCCUGGUGGCGAGUGGCGAACGGGUGAGUAAUAUAUCGGAACGUGCCCGGUCGUGGGGAUAACGUAGCGAAAGCUACGCUAAUACCGCAUACGAUCUACGGAUGAAAGCGGGGGAUCGCAAGACCUCGCGCGAUUGGAGCGGCCGAUAUCAGAUUAGGUAGUUGGUGAGGUAAAGGCUCACCAAGCCGACGAUCUGUAGCUGGUCUGAGAGGACGACCAGCCACACUGGGACUGAGACACGGCCCAGACUCCUACGGGAGGCAGCAGUGGGGAAUAUUGGACAAUGGGCGCAAGCCUGAUCCAGCAAUGCCGCGUGAGUGAUGAAGGCC